ACUCAACACCGGCCCCUCUCCCAUCGGCCACCCUCAGUCCACUCUGCCACCUUCUGCGCGCAGAUCUAGAAGGAGUAGGGCUGUUUUGCGUUGGCGCCGGCGGAAGAGCCCCCUCCGAUGGCUCCGUCUCGCGCUACCCGCUCGGCGUGUCCCCCUUCGGCCUCCUCCUCCUCUAUUGCGCCACAACCGGGCCUCCUCGCCGGCGCCGGCGCAUCACCGACAGCAGUGGGGGAAAUGGGGCUCGUGGGGGACGAGGGCGUGUAGGAGGUCCGCCGCCGAUGCCAACGCCGCCUCCCUUCGGAGCAGCGCCGUUCGGCCCUCACCCGCUGAAGCCGGCCCCGCACGCCAUCGCCCCUUCCAGCCGCCCUCCCCCGCCUGCCUCCGGAUCUGCGGCGGUCUUACCUCCAUUGACAUCCCUGCCUCUAGAUCCGCGAUUUCCUGCCCUCAAGCUGUCACUUCCUGCCUCCGGCGCCGGUCCGUCGCCCUGCACUUGCCCUGACGCUCCUGCCUCUCCUUGGUGUGCGCCUGACUGACCUGUUGCAGAUUAUUUGUAUGAAAAUAAGCAGCUUAUUCUGGCCAUCCUGCAAAAUCAGAACUUAGGAAACUUGGCUAAAUGUGCUCAGUUUCCCCCGUUGCCCAACAGUGUAUCUACCGCAUUAGUUGACAGAUCCUCAAACAAUACGCUAGCACCUUCGUCUACAGCAUCGUGCUCCCCGCCUCGAGCUAGGCACUACAACCUGCGUGCACAACGAGCUAGGCACUAUAACCUGUGUGCAAAACGAGCUAAACACUCAGUCAA